CCAUAGGUUUAGGGCACUGGAAGGUCCCUAAACCGAAAGGGGCUCUGCCCGCCCGAGGAUGGGCCGGCGGCCGAUUAGGUAGUUGGUGGGGUAACGGCCCACCAAGCCCAUAAUCGGUACGGGCAGUGAGAGCUGGAGCCCGGAGAUGGACACUGAGACACGGGUCCAGGCCCUACGGGGCGCAGCAGGCGCGAAACCUCCGCAAUGCUCGAAAGAGCGACGGGGGGACCCCAAGUGCCGUGGUACAACCACGGCUUUUCCGGAGUGUAAGAAGCUCCGGGAAUAAGGGCUGGGCAAGGCCGGUGGCAGCCGCCGCGGUAAUACCGGCGGCCCGAGUGGUGGCCACUAUUAUUGGGCCUAAAGCGUCCGUAGCCGGGCUUGUAAGUCCCUGGCGAAAUCCCACGGCUCAACCGUGGGGCUUGCUGGGGAUACUGCAAGCCUUGGGACCGGGAGAGGCCGGGGGUACUCCUGGGGUAGGGGUGAAAUCCUAUAAUCCCAGGAGGACCGCCAGUGGCGAAGGCGCCCGGCUGGAACGGGUCCGACGGUGAGGGACGAAGGCCAGGGGAGCAAACCGGAUUAGAUACCCGGGUAGUCCUGGCUGUAAAGGAUGCGGGCUAGGUGUUGCUUGGACCUCGAGUCCAAGCAGUGC
rnacentral:rRNA from 1 species